UACGUAGGGGGCAAGCGUUGUCCGGAAUCAUUGGGCGUAAAGAGCGUGUAGGCGGCCCGGUAAGUCCGCUGUGAAAGUCCAGGGCUCAACCCUGGGAUGCCGGUGGAUACUGUCGGGCUCGAGUCCGGAAGAGGAGUGUGGAAUUCCUGGUGUAGCGGUGAAAUGCGCAGAUAUCGGGAAGAACACCCGUGGCGAAGGCGGAUCUCUGGGCCAUUACUGACGCUGAGGAGCGAAAGCGUGGGGAGCGAACAGG
rnacentral:rRNA from 1 species